rnacentral:rRNA from 1 species
UACGGAGGAUGCGAGCGUUAUCCGGAUUUAUUGGGUUUAAAGGGUGCGUAGGCGGGCUGUUAAGUCAGCGGUAAAAGCCCGGGGCUCAACCCCGGCGAGCCGUUGAAACUGGCUGUCCUGAGAUGUCGAGAGGUAUGCGGAAUGCGCAGUGUAGCGGUGAAAUGCUUAGAUAUUGCGCAGAACUCCGAUUGCGAAGGCAGCAUACCGGCGGCGAUCUGACGCUGAGGCACGAAAGCGUGGGUAUCGAACAGG